rnacentral:rRNA from 1 species
ACGAACGUUGGCGGCGUGGAUUAGGCAUGCAAGUCGUACGAGAACCGCUGGGUAACUGGCGGGGAAAGUGGCGAAAGGGGCAGUAAGGCGUGGGUAACGUACCCCCUGGACCGGGAUAGCCACGGGAAACUGUGGGUAAUACCGGGAGACGCAAUCGGGUCGCAUGGCCUGGUUGCCAAACGGUCCGCCGCCGGGGGAGCGGCUCACGUGGUAUUAGCUAGUUGGUGAGGUAACGGCUCACCAAGGCUAAGAUGCCUAGCGGGUGUGAGAGCACGACCCGCGCCACUGGCACUGAGACACUGGCCAGACACCUACGGGUGGCUGCAGUCGAGGAUCUUUGGCAAUGGGCGCAAGCCUGACCAAGCGACGCCGCGUGUGCGAUGAAGGCCUUCGGGUUGUAAAGCACUGUCGAGGGGGAGGAAAGCCGCAAGGUCUGACCUAUCCCUGGAGGAAGCACGGGCUAAGUUCGU